GAUGAACGCUAGCGGCAGGCUUAAUACAUGCAAGUCGUGGGGCAGCAGGGUUGUAGCAAUACAAUCGCUGGCGGCCGGCAAACGGGUGCGUAACACGUACGCAACCUUCCCGUUACUGUGGCAUAGCCCAGGGAAACUUGGAUUAAUACCACAUAUUGUAUAGAGGGGGCAUCUCCUUUAUAUCAAAGCUUCGGCGGUAACGGAUGGGCGUGCGGUUGAUUAGGUAGUUGGCGGGGUAACGGCCCACCAAGCCUACGAUCAAUAGCUGAUGUGAGAGCAUGAUCAGCCACACGGGCACUGAGACACGGGCCCGACUCCUACGGGAGGCAGCAGUAAGGAAUAUUGGGCAAUGGACGAAAGUCUGACCCAGCCAUGCCGCGUGAAGGAUUAAGGUCCUCUGAAUUGUAAACUUCUUUUCUCUGGGGCGAAAAACAGCUAUUCUUAGUUGCUUGACAGUACCAGAGGAAUAAGCACCGGCUAACUCCGUGCCAGCAGCCGCAGUAACAC
rnacentral:rRNA from 1 species